UCAUAUGAAUGCCAACGCUUUGCUUCCGAAUUUCUAUAUAAGCAACCAUGGCCUUUCCUUUUCACUCAUAAUUUCUCGUUUCUAAAAUCGCCCAAGAAUGGGGUUGCUGGCAAAGGUUCGAGCAUACUGGAAAAGCAAAAUACGCAGGGCAUUUCAGUCGCUUAAGCGGGACUUCGAUGCCGAAUCGGAACAAGGCAAUCACCAAGACCAUUGUUGCCUAUCCAAGCCUUAGGAUGAUCUUUGAAUCCUUUCAAUCAAGAAAACUGAUGUCCUAUUCGAGCUUCCCCGAUUUUCUGUGAUUUUAGUAACCAACCAUAAACACCCAAUCUGAUUGGAAGAAGCCCAACCCUUGAGCCUACUUUAAAGAGGAAUAUCGUGGAACACGACUUAAGCCGGCGGAUAGCCGCAGGAAAUUCAAGCUCUCUGCAUGGUGCCAAAUAAAAAGAGCCACAAAAUCCAUUAAGACACAGCUAGCGGCAAUGGCAGUGGCAGUGGCAGUCCUCCUGCUCCAAUCCUCGUCCUUGCGCUCAUCCCCAUCGUGAUCCUGAUCCUGCCACCCAUUGCAUCAGGCCCGCGUGGGCGCAACCCCUUUUUAAGGCCGCGCAUAAAAGUUACUUCCGUUGCUCGUCGGUGGCCGAGAAAAAGGGCUAACAAAACUAUUAAAAUGCCGGCGACACCAUACAUUAUUUAUUUCUUUUUU